rnacentral:rRNA from 1 species
GAUGAACGCUAGCGAUAGGCUUAACACAUGCAAGUCGAGGGGCAGCAUGGUCUUAGCUUGCUAAGACUGAUGGCGACCGGCGCACGGGUGCGUAACGCGUAUGCAACUUGCCUCACAGAGGGGGAUAACCCGUCGAAAGACGGACUAAUACCGCGUACACUCCAUCUUGGGCAUCCAAGGUAGAGGAAAUGAAAUUCGCUGUGAGAUAGGCAUGCGUCCCAUUAGCUAGUUGGUGAGGUAACGGCUCACCAAGGCGACGAUGGGUAGGGGAACUGAGAGGUUGAACCCCCACACUGGUACUGAGACACGGACCAGACUACUACGGGAGGCAGCAGUGAGGAAUAUUGGUCAAUGGGCGAGAGCCUGAACCAGCCAAGUCGCGUGAAGGAUGACUGUCUUAUGGAUUGUAAUCUUCUUUUAUACGGGAAUAACAAGAGUCACGUGUGACUCCCUGCAUGUACCGUAUGAAUAAGCAUCGGCUAACUCCGUG